rnacentral:tRNA from 1 species
GACCGCGUAGCUCAGUUGGCAGAGCAUUGGGCUAGUAUUCCUAAGGUCGUAGGUUCGAUUCCCAUCGUGGCCA